rnacentral:rRNA from 1 species
UACAGAGGUGGCAAGCGUUGUUCGGAAUUACUGGGCGUAAAGGGCUCGUAGGCGGCCAACUAAGUCAGACGUGAAAUCCCCAGGCUCAACCUGGGAACUGCGUCUGAUACUGGAUGGCUUGAAUCCGGGAGAGGGAUGCAGAAUUCCAGGUGUAGCGGUGAAAUGCGUAGAUAUCGGGAGGAACACCAGUGGCGAAGGCGGUUGCCUGGAGCUUUGCUGACGCUGAUGCGCGAAAGCGUGGGGAGCGAUCCGG